UACGGGGGGGGCAAGCGUUGUCCGGAAUUAUUGGGCGUAAAGAGCUCGUAGGCGGUCUGCUACGUCCGCUGUGAAAACCUAGGGCUUAACCCUGGGCUUGCAGUAGAUACGGGCAGACUAGAGGUAGGUAGGGGAGAAUGGAAUUCCCGGUGUAGCGGUGAAAUGCGCAGAUAUCGGGAGGAACACCGGUGGCGAAGGCGGUUCUCUGGGCCUUACCUGACGCUGAGGAGCGAAAGCGUGGGGAGCAAACAGG
rnacentral:rRNA from 1 species